AAUUCUCAACCUCACCAGUUUUGUAACGAGACUGUGUAAGGCUUGGAUGUGGGGGUUUUUGCAGGCUGCCUCUGUGCGGUCUGCUCCCCUGAAAUGCAUUAGCGAGUUCACUAAGCUCCGUCUAUUGGUGUGAUAAUUAUCUACGCCGUGGAAUGGGUUUAGACUUGCUUCUAACCGUCUGCAAAGACAACUUUUGACA
rnacentral:misc_RNA from 1 species